GGCAACGCACUUUCUUAAUGUCCCCAAGCUUCUGCUUUUUCAUUUGUAAAAAGGAGAAUACUAAAACCCAUCGGUCGGGGUUGUCGUGCGGAUUACGUGCCUGGCACAAAAUGGUCCUUCCCGGAGCUGGAGCUGGAGUGUUCGGAGGAACCAGGCGAUCUGCCCCUCCCCUUCCGCCACUGCCCCUCCCCCACCAGGCCUGUCGCAGAGCCAGAGUCCCGGGUCCUGAUUCCUGGCCUCCCGGGCUCUAACGCCAAAACCUUAGGCGAGAGUCACACCCUCUUCGUCAAGGCCAACCGGAGAGCCCCAUCCCUGGCCACCUGAGUCAGGCUUCCCCGGAAACUCCUGUGUCUGUCGCCUCAGAUGACCCCAGCCCCGCAAGCUCUCUGCUAGACUGACAGCCGGGAGUUCUAAGCAGAAGGAGCCAUGCGGCAUUUCAGAGAGUGGUGAGGAUUAUGUGAGCUGAUCCACGGAAGUGUACUGACGGCAUUCCCCCCAUGUUCUGGAGGCACACAGGUGAUCGGUGUGAUAGAAGGAGCUUCAGGAUGUGUGACAGAGACCGAGCUCACCCAGCAAAUGGGGCAGGUUUCCAGAGCCACGGGCUGCCAGAUCCCACAGGGCCUUUCCACCUGCCGGCUUUCUUGGAGGAGUGGAGCAGGGGGAGACUUAGACCCCGGCCUGGGGGCGCCUAGGCUCUGCAUCCACACAGCUCCUUUGUGACCCCGUGGGCCAGGUGUGCCUAGGUUUGAACCCAGGCAAGUAAUUUCUCCUGUUGUGAAUAUGCAACUGUUAAGUGCAGCAACCUACUACAGUGCCCUGUUCAUAGUACGUUCUCGGUAUAUGUAAGUUUUGGCUCUCUGCUGUUGAAACAUAAGCUUCUCCUCAACCAUCGGGCUGGAGGGCAGAGGGAGCUGGGGGGAGGGCUUGGGUCGGGGGCGG